UGCAGGUGACAAUGUGCAGGAUAGGG
rnacentral:piRNA from 1 species